rnacentral:rRNA from 1 species
CCUGAAGGAAGAGAAAUCAAACGAGAUUCCCAAAGUAGCGGCGAGCGAAAUGGGAGAAGGGCGGUUAGCGAUAGCAUAUUUAUUAGCAGAACACUUUGGAAAGAGUGAGCAUAGAGGGUGAUACUCCCGUAAGCGAAAAUAUUUAUGUGGUACUAGGUUAACGAACGAGUAGGUCGGGACACGUGUUAUCUUGACUGAAUAUGGGGGGACCACCCUCCAACCCUAAAUACUACUACUAGACCGAUAGCGAACAAGUACCGUGAGGGAAAGGUGAAAAGGACCGCGGUGAGCGGAGUGAAAUAGAACCUGAAACCUAUGGCUUACAAUCAUUCGGAGCACUAUUAAAUAAGUGUGACGGACUGCCUUUUGCAUAAUGAGCCUGCGAGUUGUGGUAUCUGGCAAGGUUAAUCGAACGAGAAGCCGUAGCGAAAGCGAGUCUUAAUAGGGCGACAUAGUCAGAUGCUGCAGACCCGAAACUGAGUGAUCUAUCCAUGAGCAGGUUGAAGCUGGUGUAAGAGCCAGUGGAGGACCGAACCGGUAGAAGUUGAAAAUUCUUCGGAUGACUUGUGGAUAGGGGUGAAAGGCCAAUCAAACUCAGUGAUAGCUGGUUCUCUCCGAAAUAUAUUUAGGUAUAGCCUCGAGCAUUAGCAUGAAGGGGUAGAGCACUGACAGGGCUAGGGCUGCUUACCGCGGUACCAAACCCUAUCAAACUCCGAAUACUUCAUGUGUAACCUCGGGAGUCAGGCGUAGGGUGAUAAAAUCCUAUGUCGAGAGGGGAACAACCCAGACUAACAGCUAAGGUCCCAAAGUUUUAUCUAAGUGGAAAAGGAUGUGGAGUUGCUGUGACAACCAGGAGGUUGGCUUAGAAGCAGCCAUCCUUUAAAGAAAGCGUAACAGCUCACUGGUCUAGCGAUUCUGCGCCGAAAAUAUAACGGGGCUAAGACAAACACCGAAGCUUUAGAUUUACAGUUUACUGUAAGUGGUAGGAGAGCGUUCCAUUCAGCGUUGAAGGUAUACCGGUAAGGAGUACUGGAGCGGAUGGAAGUGAGCAUGCAGGCAUGAGUAGCGAGAAAAGGGAUGAGAAUUCCCUUCGCCGUAAACCCAAGGUUUCCUACGCGAUGCUCGUCAUCGUAGGGUUAGUCGGGACCUAAGUCGAGUCCGAAAGGGGUAGACGAUGGCAAAUCGGUUAAUAUUCCGAUACCGACAUAUCAUCAUUUGAGUGAUGGGGGGACGCAUAGAGUUAGACGAGGUCACUGAUGGAAUAGUGGCUCGAAGGGUGUAGGUUGAUGAGUAGGCAAAUCCGCUCAUCAUGCAACCGAGACCUGACAGGCUGAACAAUCUCUUCGGAGAGCGUUUAGAAUCGUCGAUACUGUCGUGCCGAGAAAAGCCUCUAAACGAGAUGAUAUGUUGCCCGUACCGUAAACCGACACAGGUGGGUGAGAUGAGUAUUCUAAGGCGCGUGGAUGAACCCUUGUUAAGGAACUCUGCAAACUAGCACCGUAUCUUCGGUAUAAGGUGUGCCCUAUUUGUUAGGAGAUUUACUCUCCAAAGCAAUGACGGGUCGCAGCAAAGAGUCCCUCCCGACUGUUUACCAAAAACACAGCACUCUGCUAACUCGUAAGAGGAUGUAUAGGGUGUGACGCCUGCCCGGUGCUCGAAGGUUAAAAGGAUUGCUUAGCAUUAGCGAAGGCAUGAAUUGAAGCCCGAGUAAACGGCGGCCGUAACUAUAACGGUCCUAAGGUAGCGAAAUUCCUUGUCGGU